ACUACAGCCCUGCUAGAGGCUACCUGGGGGAGCUUUGUCUGUGUCUCAGCACUUGCCCCUACAGCCCUGCUGGAGGCUACCUGGGGGAGCUUUGUCUUUGUGUUACACUUGGCGGGGAAGGGGGUGGUCCACCUUUACAGCAGAUUGCAAACUCCACCUCCCUACAGAUGUAUAAUGGACUGGUCCAAAAAUACCAUAAUCACGUUGACCCCCCCCCCUCCUACGAAUGCAAUGGUAUGGUCCACUUCUAAAGCUGAUGGGACAUUCCACCCCCCUUCCUACAGAUAUAAUGGACUGGUCCAAAAAUACCAUCACGUUGACCACCCCCCCACUAAUGUAAUGGUAUGGUCCAUCUUUAAAGCUGAUGGGAAAUUCCACCCCCCCUUUCUUACAGAUGUAAUGGAAUGGUCCAAAAAUACCAUAAUCACGUUGACCUACCCCCCCCCCCCCACUAAUGUAAUGGUAUGGUCCACUUCUAAAGCCAAUGGGAAAUUCCACCCCCUUUCCUACAGAUGUAAUGGACUGGUCCAAAAAUACCAUAAUCACGUUGACCUACCCCCCCACGAAUGUAAUGGUAUGGUCCACUUCUAAAGCUGAUGGGAAAUUCCACCCCCCUUCCUGCAGAUGUAAUGGACUGGUCCAAAAAUACCAUAAUCACGUUGACCUACCCCCCCCCCCCCCACUAAUGUAAUGGUAUGGUCCACUUCUAAAGCCAAUGGGAAAUUCCACCCCCUUUCCUACAGAUGUAAUGGAUUGGUCCAAAAAUACCAUAAUCACGUUGACCUACCCCCCCCCCCCCCACUAAUGUAAUGGUAUGGUCCACUUCUAAAGCUGAUGGGAAAUUCCACCCCCCUUCCUACAGAUGUAAUGGACUGGUCCAAAAAUACCAUAAUCACGUUGACCUACCCCCCCCCACGAAUGUAAUGGUAUGGUCCACCUAUACAGCAUAUUGGAAACUCCCCCCCACCUUACAGAUGUAAUGGACUGGUCCCAAUGUACCAUUAAAAUCAGAUUUAGACUUAAAGCUUUUCUGACUGCAGGAAAUCACAUUCAUGGUUCUUUCGGUAAAGAGAUUUGAAAAAUAAAAAAAUGAUUAUAAAAUAAAAAUAAUAAGAGUCGAUAAAAAUAAUAAAAUAAAAAUAAUAAAUUGAAAAUAAUCAAAGCAAAAACCCCACACGACGUAUCGAUCGUUAUAAUUUUAAUUUUAUUAUUUUAAAGUUUAUUUAUUUUUAUUAUUUUUGUUUUACUUAUUUUAUUACUUUUAUUGUAUAUAUAUAUUUUCGUGUUCUAUUUACGUGACUUUACCGAAAGAACCAAGAAUAUACAUUAAGAUCACGUUCACCUAUUCCACCUCGUAAUGGUAUGAUCCACCCAUACAGCAGAAGCGAAACUCCCCCCCCCCUCCCCCACAGAUGUAAUGGACUGGUCCAAAGGUACCAUUAUAAUCAGGAUCACCUAUUCCACACUCACGUAGUGGUAUAGUCCAACUGCCCAGGUUGAAGCGACUGAUACACGGUCACCCCCCGUUACCCCCCCUUCCACAACUCCGCAAUGGUAUGGACCAACUAAAGACAAAGGUCACCCUAAUAGGCUUCAACAGACGUUCAGGGCAAGUGCCAUUCUGGAGUAGCAGCAGCAGCAUUGCUUUUGAAGCCGCCUAUAGGACAUUCCCCCCUCCCCUCGGAGGUGUAAUGGAUUGUUCCAUUGUUACCAGUACAGAUUACCUCUACCCUCUCACCCCUUCAUUAAUGAUGUAAUGGUAUAGUCCAUCCAGAGCAAGCCAUGGGACCAACCCUCUCUCCCGCGCCCCUACAGGUGUAAUGGAUCAGUCCAUGUCCUUACUACCUUCACACAAUGGACUGGCCCUUGGUCAAGAACACCCCCCUACAGGUGUAAUGGACUAGGCCCAUGUCCACCAGACUUGUACACAAUGGACUGGCCCAUUGUCAAUGGUACCCCCCUGUACAGGUGUAAUGGACCAGCCCAUGUCCUUCCUACCUGUACACAAUGGACUAGGCCAUGUACAUCCUACCUUCACACAAUGGACUGGCCCAUUGUCAAUAAUACCCCCCUACAGGUGUAAUGGACUAGCCCGUGUCCACCCUCCCUGCACACAAUGGACCAAUCCACCAGACAGACAAAGCAGCCUUAUGGGGCCAACCCCCCCCCCCCACCGCUACACUCAGGAAUGGUAGAGUCCGGCGCUAGCAUUUGGUCGCUGAAUGCUUUGGACGGCGACGAACGAUGGAAGAGUCCAUUCGGCGGAGUCGGGGGGGUGUUUUUAAGGCUAUAAUCGGUCCCUUAAAAUAAGGGCGUUUGGCCUAUAAAGUAAAGCUAAUGAUGUUAAUAAAAAGUCGUUGUUCACUUUGA